CCUACGGGAGGCAGCAGUGAGGAAUAUUCCACAAUGGGGGAAACCCUGAUGGAGCGAUGCCGCGUGCAGGAAGACGCUUUUCGGAGUGUAAACUGCUUUUAACAAGGAAGAUUAUGACGGUACUUGUAGAAUAAGGACCGGCUAACUACGUGCCAGCAGCCGCGGUAAUACGUAGGGUCCAAGCGUUAUUCGGAAUUACUGGGCGUAAAGCGUUCGUAGGCGGUUUGAUAAGUUGGAUGUGAAAUCCUGUGGCUCAACCACAUGGACUGUGUCCAAAACUAUCUGACUAGAGCAUAGUAGAGGCAAGUGGAAUUUGCGGUGUAGGAGUGACAUCCGUAGAUAUCGCAAGGAACACCAAUGGCGAAGGCAGCUUGCUGGGCUAUUGCUGACGCUCAGGAACGAAAGCGUGGGGAGCGAACGGGAUUAGAUACCCCGGUAGUCCACGCCGUAAACGAUGAUCACUAGCAGUAUGGAGAUUCGACCCUCUGUGUUGCACAGCUAACGCGUUAAGUGAUCCGCCUGGGGAGUACGGGCGCGAAGCUUAAAACUCAAAGGAAUUGACGG
rnacentral:rRNA from 1 species